AUGGAAACGCGAUCGUUUAGGGAAGGGCAGGAGUCAGAGAAGAGCUCGUGACUUUCAGAAUGGCUGGGACGUCCAGACAUGACAGAGAGAUGGUGGAGAAGGCCAAGCGUCAGCUGCAGGAGUGUGAUGACCCAGUGGAACGCCUCCGGCUGCAGUGUCUGACCCGGGGCUCGUCUGGGAUCAAAGGUCUGGGCAGAACCUUUAAGAUCAUGGACGAUGACGAAAACCGCUCUCUGGAUUUCAAAGAGUUCACAAAAGGUUUAAAUGACUUCGGCCUCUUCAUGGACAAGAAGGAGACCGCCGCUCUGUUCCAGCUCUUCGACCGCGACGGGAAUGGAACCAUCGACUUUGACGAGUUUCUAAUCACCCUCAGGCCACCCAUGUCAAAGGCCAGAAAGGACGUGAUCAUGCAAGCCUUUCGCAAGUUGGACAAGACCGGCGACGGUGUGAUUACCAUCGAAGACCUGCAGGGGGUUUACAACCCCAAGUACCACCCCAAGUACCAGAACGGAGAGUGGACUGAAGAGCAGGUGUUCCGGACGUUUCUGGACAGCUUUGACACGCCGUAUGACAAAGAUGGCAAAGUGACCCUGGAGGAGUUUAUGAAUUAUUACGCGGGCGUCAGCGCCUCCAUUGACACUGACGUCUACUUUAUUGUGAUGAUGAGAAACGCUUGGAAACUCUGACUUAACGUCUCCCUGGUAAACACCACAGGAGCCGGGGCAGGAGGUGGGGCAGGAGGUGACCAAAGACGAGUUUGUCAACUACUACUGUGGCGUGAGUGCGUCCAUAGACAGUGACGUCUACUUCAUCCUGAUGAUGAGGAACGCCUGGAGGCUGUGAGAGGGACUGCACCAUCUGUUCAUGUUUCUGACGUAACGUAGCUGCGGAAUUUUUUAUUUGUUUUUAAUCAGUUUCUUGUAAAAUAAAGUCAAAGGUUCGAUGCUUGUGUGUGUGAUGUGGAGCAAAUGAUGAGGGAAAUGAUUUUGUUCAUCCACGUGUGAUCUAGUACUCCACCACAGAGGGGCGCUGUAAAGACGAAUGCUGAUCUCGGUGUCAGUAAGUGGCUUUUUUUUACAGCGACAAAGUAGCGACGUAAAAAAAAAACAGAAA